CGAACGAGAAAGCAGGAGCAAUCCUGUGAGUAAAGUGGCGUACGGGUGAGUAACACGUGGAUUAUCUACCUUCUAGUGGGGGAUAACCCUGGGAAACCGGGGCUAAUACCGCAUAAGUUCGAGAGAAGAAAGCAGCAAUGCGCUGGAAGAGGAGUCCGCGGCCGAUUAGCUAGUUGGUAGGGUAAAAGCCUACCAAGGCUACGAUCGGUAGCCGGCCUGAGAGGGCACACGGCCACACUGGCACUGAAACACGGGCCAGACUCCUACGGGAGGCAGCAGUGGGGAAUCUUGCACAAUGGGGGAAACCCUGAUGCAGCGACGCCGCGUGAGCGAUGAAGCCCUUCGGGGUGUAAAGCUCUUUCGGCAGGGACGAUUAUGACGGUACCUGCAGAAGCAGCUGCGGCUAACUACGUGCCAGCAGCCGCGGUAAUACGUAGGCAGCAAGCGUUGUUCGGAGUUACUGGGCGUAAAGGGUGUGUAGGCGGUCCUCUAAGUUUGGUGUGAAAUCUCCCGGCUCAACUGGGAGGGUGCGCCGAAAACUGGGGGGCUAGAGUGCGGGAUGGGAGAGUGGAAUUCCUGGUGUAGCGGUGAAAUGCGUAGAUAUCAGGAGGAACACCUGUGGUGUAGACGGCUCUCUGGACCGCAACUGACGCUGAGACACGAAAGCGUGGGUAGCAA
rnacentral:rRNA from 1 species